GCUGGGUGUGGUGGCGUGCACCUGUAAUCCCAGCUACUCAGGAAGCUGAGGCAGGAGAAUUGCUUGAACCUGGGAGGCAGAGGUUGCAGUGAGCUGAGACCAUGCCACUGCACUCCAGCCUGGGCAACAAGAGCAAGACUCUGUCUCCU
rnacentral:SRP_RNA from 1 species